AUGAGAGAGAGAGGGAGUUAACCCCACCAUGCCCAUGUCUCUCUCGUCUCUCCCGUUCCAACCAAAUCCGGGGCUGGCGGCGGCAAACCCUAGCGCUGCGGCGGCGGCGGCGGCAGACCCUAGCGCCAUGGACUGGCCGGUGCAGGGGACGGCGAUCACGGCCGGUUGAUGACGGCGCCUCAGGUCCAUAAAGUGUUGGCUCCUCUCCAUCGACAUGACCAGCACCAAAGGUGCGUAUUCCCGUCACCUGUUGCGUUCGGUGUCUCCGUACAUUUCAGCCCCGUUCGAUGCCUCUCCUCCAGCCACACGACGUUCAUUUGCCUCUUUCUCUUCCCUGUGGACGUCACCUCCCCACGUUCUGGAUGUACCAUGAUUCUGGAUCGGGCACAAGUCGCCCCAAUAGGAGAGCAGGUCUGGUGUGGUUUCAUGGUGGGUGUUGAGGAGCAGGGGGCUGGGGAGGGAGUCGGCCAUCACUGCCUACCACUGCUCACGAGUCGUCGUGCCCCAUCCCCAACCUAGACUGCACAUCUACAGCUUCGGCAUCUCCCUCUCCCCUAUUUUUUGCCUUUUGAUUUCCCUGGUUCAUUGAUAAUGCGAUUUUAAUUUUUUGAUUUAUGUGUGUAGAUCGGAUGAAGAAUACAAGAGGAAGACUAAGAACAAGGUGAGCUCUCUCUCCCCCUAAUCUGCCUAGAUUGCAAGUAUACAUGUGCAUACUUAAUUACUAUUUAGCUGUUCUAUUGCGUUCUUAGUUCUUUCUUUUUUCAGCCAUGCAUUUCUUCUGUCUAUAAGAGUACACCAUUCUUCGUUUGAUCACUCUUGGAUGAUUCCUUUUGUUUGAGGAACUCAAAUUUUCAGUAGCAAGCAUGCAGUUUGGCCAAUGAUGCAGGGUGAUCUGGUUGUUCUGUUGGAGCUGAAAGUUUGGACGGGUACUGAAUAGUGUGAAUUACAUCUGUAAAUAACAACAUGAGGAUCAGGGAUGCAAGCGGCUGGAUUCCAAAACUGCACCCCCCCCCCCCCCCCCCUAUGUUUUGCUCGAUAAAUCAAGUUUUUUUUUUUGCAAUGUUCAAUGGCCUGAAUGUACGAAAUGAGACAAUUCACACCCUUGAUUUCAUAGCAGGUCUCAUGGUUCAGUAGCAAGUAUCAUUAAUCUAACUACCUCCUCCAAAAUGUCAUUUUUCAAUUGAUUUUAGUUCCCUUUUGUAUUCAGUUUUUAAAUUGGUUUCAACUGUCUUUUGGCACUCAAAUGUGAUUAAGUGCAGUAACAUGUAGCAUUUAGUUUAUUUGGUUGACAGUUUAUAACCUCAGCAAGGAGCACGUGACAUUGACGCCAUCACUGAGCUCAAGAUGGUGCCUUGCAAUGAUCAUUGCACUUCUCUUCCAUACAUCAGUGCCACUUCCAAAGCGGAGUGCCUCCUAGAGGAUAGUCUCUAUUAUCAGAAGGGUGAAGCAGCACAGAAGACAAAGAAGGCAUAUUGUGCGAGAGUGGCGAUGGCAUGGACGAGCUUGCCUGCUCCCAGUUCGGGUACCAAUGGGACAGCGACACGUUCUAGCUUGCACUGAAUGUGAUCGUAUAGAGACACGAUGGAUAUGCCCAAUCCUACAGUGGCGUAUGGAGCCGGCUUCGUGUGAGAUGACAGUGGGUUAGCGGUCCAUCAUGCACGUGUUCCGUUGGUACAAAUCUCUUCUCGCGGUACACAACGACUACCAUCAGUUGCGGCCCGGCGCGCAAACGUCGUCUUCCUAAUAAACAGAUAAGGGUGCACAACAUUGUGGAUCCAACCUUGCCGGCGACGCUGAGAAAAAAAGGCAAAUCUAUCCAUUCGGGCACCGCACGAGGCGAGAAGCUAGGAGCUAUGGUGAUGGCGGCGGCGGGAGGCGGGAGGCGGGAGGCGACGGAUUCGAGUUCCUAGCAGAUCCGGUUCACAGGGCAGUACAAAGUAGAGGAGGUCUGUAAAGGGAAAAUCUAUUUCGUGCGAUGAUACCAUCCAGAGAAACAUGAAAAGUGGUGCGGGAUGUGUACAAAGUGGAAGUUGUUGAGGAAGGGAGGGAACUGAUAUGUGAGUGUGCUAAUUUCGAGCACACAUUCUUGCUCUGCUGCCAUGCAGUUAAGGUCCUUGAUUUCGUCGGCAUAUACCAGAUACCAGCAAAACAUAUUCUGAAACGUUGGACAAAGGAUGCAAGAGAUGUAUUGUCAACCCACUUAUCACACCUUCAGAAGGAUAGCAUUUCAGUGAAUUCAAUAACCUUUAGGCACUCAAAUCUUCACACACAUGCACUCGAAGUGGUGAGGCUGGAGAUGCAAAUACAGAGGCCUAUGACUAUGAGUGUGCAAUGGACAUCUUGAAGAUAGCAAUGGAUAAACUGACACCAAUAGCCGCCAUGCGAGAUGGAAUGUGAUUGCAUUGGAAGACAAAAUUCAGCCAAACAAGAGAUGUCUACACCUGAUUCAGGCGGGGGCUCUGUUAGCCAUGUGUCUUCCAGCUCUAGCUCGAGUGCCCUUGCAGUCAGCGAUGAGCAUGACCGGCAUCUUCAGUUCUUGCCAUCUGAUGAUCAUGUCGCUGGCGGCAGUGCUCCAGGGCAUGCGGCUUUCGUGCAGGUCGGUGAUUGAGGAUACCGUGUACGGGAGGGCUGAUGGUGUAUCGAUGGAAGAUGAAGGUUGCGAAGAUGAGUCACAAGUCCAGUCCCGUUCUUCAACCGUGGAAGAGGUGGGUACCUAUGAUCCAGAAAAUCAGAGCUACGCCGGCGGUGAUAACCAGGGGCGAACCCACGUUAUGGUGAGUGGGGGCCUAGGCACCCACUGAAAAUAUGAAAUUUCGGUAUUAUUCAUGUGUCAAUUUUGUAAUUUGAGUAGGCUGAAACUAAUGGUUUCAGAUGGUCUGCGUAUUAACUUUGAUCAGAACCUGUAUCUAAAGAAACUGAGUAGAGGGUCGCCUUUUAUGAUGGAAUUUGCAGCAGGUGUGAUCCCUUGCUCGUGCUCUCUGCUUGUCCUCAUGCUAGACCUACCCUUUGCUUGUCGCCCUACAUUUUAUUCAGAGCGGUGUCAGGACUCAUCUCCGGCGCCUACAUGGCGGGCAGAGGGCCUAAGCUCUAGAUGAGCUCCUCUUCACCCUGCAAGUGUUGUGUUACUCUGCUAUUUUUAUUAUCUCAACAUUUCUAAUUUUAUGAGUCCGAGAUUACUUGAAUGAUUCGUGGGAAUUGGAAUGUGGGGAUAAGAAUUUUUCUAAAGAAAAACCCAGUAUCAACAUGUUAUAUCGAGGGCCUUGAAAGCUAAUGGUGUCGCAAGAUGUCUUUUUUUCACCUUUUCAUUUUUGUUGGGAGAAAGGCGAUGCUCUUUCUUGGUCAAAAGGAUGGUAAUCUCUCAUAGAUACUUUGUUAUGUCUUAUACAAUAAUAUGCUGACAAAUCACAUGUUGAAUAACCUUUAUCCUCAUCUGUAGUACUUUAGGACACACUUUUCUAAGAACAGCCUCUUCCCACACAUGGAUGCUGAUCAUGGUGAGCUGCCAAUAAGCACUGGAGACGGAACUACCAGUGUCACGUCCCGUUUUAUAAAGGGUGUUGACAACAGGGCUACUAUCACUAAAAACUGGAGCAGCUUUUUCGUAAGGCAAAGAUGAAGAAAGGCCAUGCCUAUGCCUUCGCCUUCAAGUGCACAUCAAAGGGGUUGCACAUGAUUGUCUAUCCUAUCCUAUAUAAGCAGAUCGCAAAAGCCCUUUGCUUUAUAACUCAAUAUUAGUAUAAGUACCUACCAAGACUUCUAUAUUUAGCAUCCUUUUGGAUCGUAUGUAAGCCACCUAAGAUCAUCCUGUAUCGUAUGACUAUUGGUUGUUUGCUGGUAAGACCAUCAUGAAGUGUGCUUUUGGGGCAGCAGUGCAGAAAGAAAUAUCUUCCUGUAUCUGUUGGAUGUUUUUCCCUCUGUUACAGAUCAGCACUAGGUUCUCUUAAAACACUAUUUAUCAGCACUAAGUUUCUAUUUGCUUA